rnacentral:lncRNA from 1 species
AAAAAAAAAAAAAACUUUGUAACUUAGUUUGGGCCUAUUGGGCUUAAUUUCAACAGUUCUGCCCAAUAUAUUAUCAAUUGUUUGAUUUUCUUUUUCUUCUUUUCGGCCAUAAAUAUUACUACUACAAGAUACGGAUCAAAUACAAAAAAGACAUGUACCAUAUAAUAAAGAUGCAAUUGAUUUAAAUGAGAUUCAUAGAUUUCAGAGUCUUUAUUUAUGUAAAGGUUUUAUGUCAUAACACAACUGUCCCAAAUAAAUGAAAAAUAGUUACUGAUCCAUAAUUGGUAAACAAAUAAAAAUCCUAAAACAAACUAUUAUUUUUGUUUCCUUGUUAAAGUCAAAGAAGAAAACGAUAGUUUUCUUGUUUCCUUUAUCCUAAUCCCAAACUUGGAAUAUAAUUACCCCAUUUUUAGAACUUGUAAGCAAAUUAGCUUCUCCAAUUUCAAAUCUCUUACGCGCUUUGUAAAGUAAAGAACAAAAGUGAUGAUUCAUUUAUGUUAAUUUUAUAGUCAAUCAUCAUCAUUAGAAAAGAGAUGUGUGAGUGUGACCUAAAAAAGGUAAUGGCAAACAGAAAACCUUGGUACCAGAGAGCUAUGGCGGUCGCCAGAUUCGCAACGAAUUGGAGAACAAUCCCUAAAUCAUCAUCACAACAACCAGAGAAUCUUCGUCCGUCUCGAAACCCUAGCGUCAACAACAAGUCAUCGAAUCAAAGCCAAAUUCAUCACCAGCUGAGAAAAUGCUCGUCUUUGAAACUAGCUGCGAAUUCGUUCACUAGGGUUUGUCUCUGCGCUCCUAUCGGUCCAUACGACGACGUUUUCCGAAAUUACGUCCCGCCGAGAAGAAGUUCAAGCUAUCCUCCGUCGAAGCCUCUUCCUAUGGUGACGGAGACGGCGGUGGCGGUGGCAGCGGCGAGGAUGAGUGUGGAUUCAGGGAGGAGGAUAUUUAGAGGGAAGUCUUUGAGGGAGAACGCGUUGAUGAGGAGGUUCGUGGUGGCGGAAGAAGAAGCGAUGAUGGAGAAUAGAAAGAGAGAUCAAAUGGAGAUUGUGAGGAAGAGAAAUCAGAUGAGGAGGAAGAAGAAGCUUGGACCUAGUCCUCUUAGUCGUAUGGUUAUCGCUGAAGAUCAUCAAGUUUGUCAUCUUUGAAACUUUUCCAUCAAGAACAGAGAAACAAAAAACAUUGGAAAGAUUUUUUUGGUUUUUGUAAUUGUGUUUUUUAAUUCAGAGAUAUUUAACCAGAAUGCGCUGCCGUUUAAAACCCCCUUUUAAACGGUGCCGUUUUUGUUACUUUAGUUUUUUUUUUUCUUGGGAAUUUUGAAUGAAGGAUGGAGCUAAUUAAUGGUUUACUUAUUGUCUUUUUGGUCUCGUUUAAUUUGGUUAAUUUGCUACGCAUACCGGUUAUUAAAACUAUUCAAUUGCUUAACUUUGUUGAUAGUUUAGUAUCAUUCAUAUAUAAUGGAUGCUUAAGAUUGAAGACUGGUUGGUUCUGCAAUCGCUCUCUUGAUCGGAAAUAUAAUAAUUAAGACUAAGACAAUAUAUAUCAUUUACUUUUCCAUUGUAUGUGGAAUGUUAAUACAUUUGAUUUUUUUUUUAAUGUCAAUGUAAGCUAGUCUAUAUGAUGUAGAGUAUAUUGUAUAUAUUGAUAAUUGCAUGCAUGCAUCUACAUAUAUACACGCACAGUGGCGGAGCCAGAAAAAUUGUUUAUAAGGGUCAAAUUUUUUUUUGUAUAUACAAAAUUAUAUCAACUUUAUUAGAAAAAAAUAAAAAUAUCAUCACAACUAUACUAUAUAUUGUAAUCGAUUUAUUAUUGUCUCGUUUGCCACAAUUUAGCUUAUAUUUUCAAUUGAAAAACUAAACAAUCAUUGAAAUGAUAUCAACGAGACGAUUAUACGAAGUCGUUUUCACAAUAUUCAUAGAAAAAAAAUCAAUAAUAGUUUUAAAAGUCAAUAAAUCAAAAGAUGAGAUUUUUCUUAAUAUACGAGCAAAAUCAUCAAAACAUUUUAGUUCAAAUUAAAAUAUAUAUAAAGUUUUACCUAAAUGUUAUUUUAAAAUGAUUUUCAAUGGAUAAUGGUGAUUAUAAAAAGAAGAAAAUAGGAAAAAUCCUAAAGUAACGAGAGAUAUAGUUAUUAGGUUGAAGUUGAAUUCAUUCAUGUUUUUAUUUUAGAUUUAUUUGUAUAUUUAUUUGUAAAGUUUAACUCUUAGCUUAAGAAAAACUACAAAAUCUACCACUUAUUCCCAAUUUCUUUCAAAAUCUACCACAUUCCUUCUCUUCUUUCAACUCAUACCACAUUUUGAUGUAAAGUAACAAUUUUGCCCUCCAUUUUUAUCUUCCCUUUUAUCUUUCCUCCUUAUUUAUUUCUCUUCCCUAUUUAUCUCUCCUCCCUAUUUAUCUUCCCUACAACCUUAGUUUCCCUAUUUAUCUCUCUCUCCCUUCAAACACAUGCAUUUUAACUAAGAAACAUUAUAUCUCCUGAGACUAAACAAUUAACUUUCGUUUUUGUCUCCAGAUCUUGUCUCCGAUUGGGAAUUCUCUGUUGCGUCUAGAUCUUGUCCCCGAUUUCAUCAUCUUGCUCUAUUAUCGUGAACUCCACAUCUUGUCCACCAAUUGUUCUCAUUUAAGGGUUUUGAAUUUUAUUUAGAUUUUUCACCAUCUAUUUUGGUCCACAGAUUAGUUGAGCAUUAUUGUCUUCACCUACCCGGAUUAUUGAAUUUUUUUCCUUCUAUUGCAAAAUAACAAAAAGAUCCAGUUGUCCUCGAGUACUAUUACUCAUUCUAUUACUCAUUCGAUAUGAACUUGUCCCCGAUCUAAUUCUCUUACUCAUUCGAUCUAAAAUUGUCCCAGAUUUAAUUCUAUUACUCAUUCGAUCUGAACUUGUCUCCGAUCUAAUUCUAUUACCCAUUCGAUCUGAACUUGUCCUCGAUCUAUAUCUAUUACACAUUCGAUCUGAAUUUGUCCUUGAUCUAAUUUUCUUACUCAUUCGAUCUGAACUUGUCCCCGAUAUAACAUAUUCGAUCUGAUUCUCUUACUCAUUCGAUCUGAACUUGUCUCCGAUCUAAUUCUAUUACCCAUUCCAUCUGAAUUCGAUAUGAACUUGUCCCCGAUUUAAUUCUAUUACUCAUUCGAUAUGAACUUGUCCCGAUCUAAUUCUAUUACCCAUUCGAUCUGAACUUGUCCUCGAUCUAAUUAUAUCACCCAUUCGAUCUGAAUUUGUCCCUGAUCUAAUUAUAUUACUCAUUCGAUCUGAAUCUGUCCGUGAUAUAACAUAUUAUUUAAAUAACCGUGCAACAUUUAUUGUAGACCUUCUCCUUCUUUGGAAGCACCAGACGAAACUGUCUCUGUCUCUGACACAGACUAUGUCCCUGACACAGACUCUGUCCCAUUCAAGGGUAUUUUGGUCCAACAUUCUGCAUGUGCUAUUGGAAUAUGGUAGAUUUUGAAAGAUUUUUGAGAUUGUGGUAGAUUUUGAAUGCGACUUGUUGAAAUGUGGUAGAUUUUGCAAUAUUCCCUUAGCUUAAUAUUUAGUAUAAAUUAAUAUAACAUUUUUUUAGUAUAUAUAUAUAGAUAUAUAUUUAGUAGUUUGCUCUUAAAUUAAAAUUUGAUGGGGUCAAUUUUUAUUUUGUAAUGGGGUUAAUUUACAAUUACCAAUCAAAAUUUAGCUAGGUUUAAAAAAUCCAUGGGUGUCAAUUGACCCCAUGCUAUAACCCUAUCUCCGCCACUGCACACACAUAAUUAAAAGUAAGCAUGUAUACCUCGUAAUUACAUAAGAGAAACAUAAUUAUGUUACAUGUUUAGUUAGCUUAGCUUGAAAGACACUAAAACCUCAGGUCUCUGAAAUAUCUGACAUCAUGUGAUGUUAAUGUUAUACUCCAGCAUUUCCUCAUGUUCGCUGUUAAAUGUUAAUAAUUUGUGUAUCCAGAUUUCAAUAACUAUAUACAAAUAUUUUAAAGUUAUAAAGAUAUAUAAUACUAAUAGCUCAAUAAUUAUAUCAUAAUAUCUUUUUUUUUUGUUAAAAUUAUAUCAUAAUAUCUUGGAGAUAGAAACUUUGUUGUGGUUCCUUUUCCCCAACUAAUUAUGUAUUUUAAGUGACUAAAUUCAGAACAAAUCAUAGUUCAUAGAGGACGUACGUGUUCAUAUUUUUCACGAAUGCAUUCAAAUGUACGGAAUGCACUAAACACACUUCACCAUUAUAAAAUCAAAAUGAUGAUCAUUACAAUUUACAACUAUGGUCAGGAUAAAUAUUUUUUAACUAUAUUUAUUUAUUGUAUUUCUAUAUAUGAAUGUACAAAGUUUUAGUAUAUGUUUCAAGUCAACAAUUCAAUGAUUUUUUUUUUGUUGUUGUUUAAAUCGUAGUAUAUUCGAAAAUCAACAGUAAAGUUAAGAGUAUAUAUAUUGAUAUUUCACACUUUUAAUAGAAAAGCAUACGGUUAUAUUUGACUCGUCAUAUAGCUGCUGAAUAUUUCUUUUUACCAGUUAAUUCAUAAGUCCCAUAUAUCUCUAGUUGAUGAUCGUAUUACUUACGGGUAUUUUAAAAGACAAUAUUUCCAGAAUUUGAAAUUUAGUAUUUUAACGUAUAAUCUUAUCUUUAUACUCUUUACAAAAAAAAUAGUUUAUGACUGAAGACCAAUUCAUAUACGUAACGGAAUUACAAUUCUACAUUGUAAAGACCAAAAGCAGUAUGAGAUUAUUCCAAAGAUGGUUUCAUGCGCUAAUGCGCAUAGAGUUCGGUAUAAUUUGUAAAUAACUCUUAUUUUUGGGCUUUUUAAAAAAAUUUAACAUUAAGAGAAAAAAAAAAAACAUUUUACAGAAAAAAAUGAUAAAUCAUUCAACAACUAAUUAACCACCAUGAGUUGGUUUUUAUAAAAAUUAACGAAUGACCAUUUCUAUAAAAAAAAAGAUGGUUAAGAAAGACUUUUUUUGGUGAAUUGUUUAGUAGGAAGAUUAUUGUGGUAAGUACUUAAGUAUUACUAUUUGAAAAGAGAGUUAUAUCAUUGAGGAUUGAAAGGUGUGUCAUAAUCUCGUAGGCCAAAGAGGGAUACUAAACAUAUAUAUUUACAAAAAUAAAAACUCACCCAGCUUUGGCAUUGAUGUUUUCAAUAUAUUUGUUUCAGAGUUUUAUCAGUAAUAGACAGAAUUUGGUAAUACUAAUAAAAUAAGUCACGGUGUCGAUGUUAGAAAGUGAGUAAGAAUAAAAAUGAAAUGAUAUGAGCUUGGAAUACAAUUCAAGCAAGAAGAUUCAAAAACAAAACAAUUAACCCAAAGUGACAACUGACAACUGACAACAUUCCUUCUUCUUCAUAGGCUGACACACCACCUCAUCAGUCGCGUGCGUGUGUCUUUUUUACCAACUGAAGUUUUUUGUUAACACAAUUUCUUGUGACUAAUACGGCCGUAACUCAAAGCUGGUGGAUAUAACCGUUGAUGAAUGAUAAUAAUUUGAUUUUUAUAAAGAAAACAGACAAAAACGAAAGAGGGGGACUAAUAUUGACUUAACUGACAUAAGAAAUCUAGAAGGUGAAAAAACCACGCGCGUGUGGUAGUCAGAGACGACCAAAGAAUCAACCUCGUCUACGAUAAAAAAAAAACUUUUCAUUAUUGCUUCUUCAAUAGCAUCAACUGACGUAAUCAUGAUAAGUCUACGACACAAUCCCUCCACCAAACCUAACCGUUUUGGUUCAAAUUUAUCAUUUCUAACAUAUAAACUAAUGUUGGUACACAAAAAAAAUAAAAAAUAACUUAUAUAAACUAGUGUAACUCAACAUUUAACAAUUAUGAUUAUGAUUAUUCUAGUUCUCUGGAGACUACUAUCACUACUCGCUUUCACUGUCUAGAUUCUAAGUCUGGUUAAUUCAUGAUUACAUCAACCGUUUUUGGUCGAAUUUUGAAAUCAAGUUUGGUUUCUAGGUUUUAGUUUCCUUAAAUGUUUGUCUUUACAAUGAAGUAAAGUUAAACAACAUUGAGUGAGAAAGUGGCCAACUAAUUCUCUCUGUACCAUCAAUCCAAAAUUAAAUUGAUUUGAUUUGAUUAAUCAAAAAGGUGGUCAGAGAAAAACAAAAGAUAAAGGUUUUAAAUUUCUUCCAUACCAGCUAGACCCAGAAUCAAAGUAAUUUAACCCCCAAAAGGCAAAAACCAAAAAGAAUGUGUUAGAAAAGCAACAAGAAGAAGAAGAAGAAAGCAAAUUAAUAGACAAUAAUCUUUCUUCUCUGGUUGCUUCUUUUUAUUUCUUUCUCUGGAAACAGCUUUUCUCUGUUACUUUACUUCUUUCAGAAACCCCAUAAUCAAGAGGUUAGUUAUUCAUGUUGCUUGUGAUUAUCCCAAUGAUUUUGUUCUUUUGAGUUUUCGGAAAUAUAUAUCUGCUUCUAACUACCGAGUUGUGUAUAAUUUGUGUUUGUUAGUUUCUAUGAUCUAUUUCUUAUUUUCUUGUCUAAGUUAUCUUCUAGAGUAGAUGUUUUCAGGUAAAGAUUUUUCUCGGUAUAGUCUUAAGGAAAAUUUUCCAAACAAAAUCGUUAAUAAUACCAAAAUCUGCAUAAGUAAAUUUCUAUCUGAUAUAAUCAGUUUACCUAAUUUGGGUUAGAAAGAUGGAGUUCGAUAUAAGAUAUCUUAAAAGUUAAAAAACUUUCCUUUUUCAUGAAAGCUCAACAACUUCAAAAUCUUUCUUUUCUGGCUGUUUCCUCUUGUCUUUGAUUGUUCGACUUCUUUGGAAUUAGUUUUGUUUUGUUUGAACUCUUUUGUCUGAAACUGCUGUUUCAAUUUGUAAUAUGUUGCAGAAGUUUUUGUGGUUGAAGCUGUUCCUCCUUGGUAAAACAGAGCAAUUAUGCUAAUUUGCGCCGUCUUUCCAAAUCUUAACCUUUAUCAAACUCAGUAAGCUACAAUAAUUGUUUAUAUAACCAUUUUCUUGAAUCAAGAAAAGCUUCAAAAAAAGUUAAUGUUCUGUUUCUUGUUAUGAACAGUUAAAAGGAAAGUAAUGUUCGAGAAAUGGGCAAGAAAGGAAAUUGGUUUUCUGCAAUCAAAAGGGUUUUCACACCACAUUCCAAAGAGAAGCAGCUAAGCAACAACAACGUAAGAAAGCUUUUAAACACUUAAAUUUGGUUUUAUAAACUGAAAUGAUGAAUUUUGUGAGAUUGAAGUGUAUAUACAUUUUGGUGUUUUAUGGUUUUGUGUUUUUGAAAGCAAGAACCAGAGAGAAAGAGUGAAAACAAAGAGAAGAAGAAGAAAGGUUUUGGAAAGAAGAUAAGGAAUGGAGAAACCAAUUCAUUUCUUCCCAUUUUUGGACAGCCUAGUAGUAUCGAAAAGAUCUUGUGUGAAGCUGAACGAGAGCAUAACCUUGUCUUUAGGCCACCAAGUCCCACGGAUCGAACAAAGGCAUCAUCAACCUCUGUUCCAUCUCCUUCUGUUAGGCUUGCUUCUCCUAAAGUUCCUUCUCAGAGAUAUGUCUCUUCUCCAAAACCCAUUUCACCAAGAGUUGCUUCCCCUCGAGUCCCUUCUCCAAAGCCGCCUUCUCCACGAGCGGUUUCGCCUAAGAUUGUGCUACAACGUGAGUUUGUGCAUAGACCAGAGCCAAGUCUACUGGUCAAAAAUGCUUAUGCAACAAAGAUUCAAGCAGCUUUUAGAGGUUACAUGGUAAUAUUGCAAAACAUUCUUGAUUCUGUUUUGUCACUAUUAAUUAGAUAGUAGUAUCCAUAAUUUAGGAGAUGUAAAUUUGUUUGUAGGCAAGGAGGAGUUUCAGAGCUUUGAAAGGUCUAGUCAGGCUUCAAGGAGUGGUGAGAGGACACAGCGUGAAGCGUCAAACGAUGAAUGCUAUGAAGUAUAUGCAGCUUUUAGUCCGAGUCCAAACACAAGUCCAGUCACGUCGCAUCCAAAUGCUGGAAAACCGAGCUAAGAACGACAAAGAUGACACGAAAUUAGCCUCUAGCCUUGCGGUAAGUGCUCUCAUUAAUCUUUGGUUUCCAAGAAAAAAGCUCUCUCCAUUUAACAUUUAUUGUUCUUUCUCGCAGUCUGAGGAUUGGGACGAUAGUGUGCUGACAAAAGAAGAAAAAGAUGCGAGGCUGCAUAGGAAGAUUGAUGCAAUGAUCAAAAGAGAACGUUCCAUGGCCUAUGCUUAUUCUCACCAGGUAUACACUCAUCUCUUCUUCUUCUUACUCACCACAAACCAAUGUAAUGUCUGCUGGUUUUUCUCCAACAACACUCUGUGACUUUGCUUGUUUGCUACGCAGUUAUGGAAAAACAGUCCAAAGUCUGCUCAGGACAUUAUAACAAGUGGGUUCCCACUUUGGUGGAACUGGGUGGACCGGCAGAAGAACCAAAACCAACCAUUCAGGCUAACACCAACACGACCGAGCCCAAGCCCUCAGCCUCAAUCUAGCAGCCAAAACCAUUUCAGGCUCAACAACAGUUUCGACACUUCCACACCCAAUUCAUCAAAAUCCACAUUCGUUACUCCAUCUAGACCCAUUCACACUCCGCAACCAUACAGUGGCAGCGUCUCAAGAUACUCACGAGGAGGAGGAAGAGCCACACAAGAUUCUCCUUUUAAAGAUGAUGAUAGCCUCACAAGCUGCCCUCCAUUCUCAGCUCCAAGCUACAUGGCUCCAACAGUCUCAGCUAAAGCAAAACUAAGAGCAAACAGUAAUCCAAAGGAGAGAAUGGACCGUACACCGGUCAGCACAAACGAGAAGAGACGGAGUUCGUUCCCUCUUGGUUCGUUCAAGUGGAACAAAGGGUCAUUGUUCAUGAGCAGCAACAGUAACAACAAGGGUCCAGGUUCUUCUUCUUCUGGUGCUGUUGUGCUUGAGAAGCACAAAACCCUCAAAUCCGUUGGAAAUUUGAGUAUUGAUUCUACGGUUUCGAUGCCUGCAACAAUUGGGAGGAGGGCUUUUAACAGAUUUGCGUGAUUUUUUAUUUUUUAUUUUCUGAAACGAAAAAACCUGACUGUUUUUUUCUUUCUUUCUCAGUUGAUUCUUCUUUGAUUUGUUUAUCUUACAUCAAUUUUAUGAGUGGUGAUUAUUUUGAGUGUUUUUUUUUUGUGUUCUUGAUUACGAAUUUUACAGAUGUAACAUAAUAAUAAAAAGUAAACAACAAAAACAGAGGAUUUGGAUUGUACAGUGUGAUGUUCUUAUUUUUGCUUGUUAAUCCCGUAUCUGUCUUUUGGGCCAAGCAACAGACUUUAACCUUUUCUUUUGGGCCAAACUACAACAUUCUUGAAACUAAACUAAAACCAUUCAAAUAGUGUUCUUUUGGUAACAAAUUUAUUACUUGUAUCAGAUUUUUUCUACAAUGCAUGGCAUAUUCAAAGAAAGAUGUAAUUUCGAUUUUGAAAAUAUGGAUAAAACUUUAUAUUAAAAAAUGUAACUAUAUUAGAAUUGGAUCGAUUCGGUAUGCGGUAUCAAUGGUUACUUUGCUAAAUUCAAAUCAUCAUAUAUUAGUAUUUUGGGAAUAAAAAGUUGAUAAGACUUUUGAUGCGUAAUGUUCAACGAAAUUAAUUUGAAAGCUUUAGUUGUGAAAAUUGAUUUGCUUUCUUCUUUUAGCUUUGAUGCUUUCACACUGUUGAUCCAGAAAGAUUUAGUGAUCAACAAACUAUCCUUGUUGUAAAUUUUGACCAAAGGCCCAUGAAGUCAAACCUUUGACUUUUCAGUGUUUCGUCUCAGCACUCAAGAGAUGGAUGAUAAUAUUCAGAGAUGAUCAAAAUCUUUCACACAAACCAAAAAAGAAAAGCACCAAUGUCUCGUGAACUUAUUCUCUGCCAAAUCAUUCUUGUUCUGUUCCUUACUCUGUUUUACAAUUCUCAUGGGUACUUCGUCUCACAAGGAUCUGUAGGAAUCGGCUUCAACGGUUACUUCACUUUAACCAACACCACAAAACACACAUUCGGUCAAGCUUUCGACAACGAGCACGUUGAAAUCAAGAACUCAUCGACAGGUCUCAUAUCAUCUUUCUCAGUCAACUUCUUCUUUGCGAUCGUCCCUGAACAUAAGCAGCAAGGCUCACACGGUAUGGCUUUCGUCAUCUCUCCCACAAGAGGUCUUCCCGGAGCUUCCUCCGAUCAAUACCUCGGAAUCUUUAACGAAACAAACAACGGUAAAAUCUUGAAUAACGUGAUUGCUAUCGAGUUAGAUAUACAUAAAGACGAAGAGUUUGGAGAUAUUGAUGAUAAUCAUGUUGGGAUUAACAUUAAUGGUUUGAGAUCUGUUGCCUCUGCUUCUGCUGGUUACUAUGAUGAUGAAGAUGGAAGCUUUAUAAAACUUUCUUUGAUCAGCAGAAAGGUAAUGAGGCUUUCGAUCGUUUAUAGUCAUUCCGAUAAACAGCUCAAUGUUACUUUAUUCCCUGCUGAGAUCCCUGUUCCACCACGAAAACCGCUCUUGUCUUUGAACCGAGAUCUCUCCCCGUAUUUGCUUGAGAAAAUGUAUCUUGGAUUCACUGCAUCGACGGGUUCAGUUGGAGCAAUUCAUUACUUGAUGGGUUGGUUUGUUAAUGGAGUAAUCGAGUAUCCGAGAUUGGACCUUGGUACAAUACCAGUCCUUCCUCCAUAUCCAAAGAAAUCGUCUAAUAGAACAAAAACGGUUUUAGCGGUCUGCUUAACUGUAUCUGUGAUUGCUGCGUUUGUCGCCUCUUGGAUCGGUUUUGUCUUCUAUUUAAGGCAUAAGAAGGUUAAGGAGGUUCUUGAAGAAUGGGAGAUUCAAUAUGGACCUCAUAGGUUUGCUUAUAAGGAGCUUUUCAAUGCCACAAAGGGUUUCAAGGAGAAACAACUUCUUGGGAAAGGAGGAUUUGGUCAAGUCUAUAAAGGAACACUUCCGGGAUCUAAUGCAGAUAUCGCUGUCAAACGGACUUCUCAUGAUUCAAGACAAGGGAUGAGCGAGUUUCUAGCUGAGAUAUCGACCAUUGGGCGUCUCAGACAUCCCAAUUUAGUCAGGCUUUUGGGGUAUUGUAGGCAUAAAGAGAAUCUCUACUUGGUUUAUGACUUUAUGCCUAAUGGAAGCCUUGACAAGUAUCUAAACCGUAAUGAGAAUCAAGAACGGCUGACUUGGGAACAACGUUUCAAGAUCAUCAAAGACGUUGCAACUGCUCUACUACACCUGCAUCAAGAAUGGGUACAAGUCAUUAUUCAUCGAGAUAUCAAACCGGCUAAUGUUUUAAUCGACCAGGAAAUGAAUGCGAGGCUCGGGGACUUCGGAUUGGCAAAGCUGUAUGAUCAGGGAUUUGAUCCUGUGACAUCUAAAGUAGCAGGAACAUUCGGGUAUAUCGCACCAGAGUUUCUAAGAACAGGAAGAGCAACCACAAGCACUGAUGCUUACGCCUUUGGGUUAGUUAUGCUUGAAGUCGUUUGUGGGAGAAGGCUGAUUGAGCGACGUGCACAAGAAAAUGAAGAAUAUCUUGUGGACUGGAUCUUAGAGCUUUGGGAAAAUGGGAAAAUUUUCGAUGCGGCAGAAGAAAGUAUACGUCAAGAAGAAAACAGGGGACAACUUGAGCUUGUUUUAAAGCUCGGUGUGUUGUGUUCGCAUCAAGCUGCAUCGAUAAGACCAGCUAUGAGUGCAGUUAUGCGGAUUUUGAAUGGAGUUUCACAGCUUCCGGAUAAUCUUCUUGACAUUGUAAGGGCUGAGAAAAUUAGAGAAUGGCCUGAGACGUCAAUGGAAAUACUACUUGAUGUGAAUUCCUCUAGUACAUUGGAGUUAACCUACUCUUUUGUCUCCCACGGACGCUGAAAAUUUUAAGUUUACCAAAUAAAGUUGAUUCUUAUGUACAUACAUUUAUGUCGAAAACUUGUUUUGUAGCAGCGACACAAGGGCCACUAUAUUUCUGGGUAUGAUGUAUGUACAAGUACUCCGAUAUCAUUUUACAGACAGUUUGAUAUUUGAUCUUCUACUAAACUUAAAAGUUAAGUGUCUCUGUAACCAGUAAUGUCUUUUGUCUCUGUUUAUUAGCCUCCAUUGGAAAGUUCAAUUGAGUGGUUAUAGAAGAAUCUCAGGAAUCAUGAGGAUACGCCGAUCUAAAGUUUUAUGAACCAAUGACUAUAAUUAACUCAAAUCACCUUCAAUCAGUUCUUCCCAAUAAAUCUUGUACUUCAAAAUAUUUCUCUUUACCCAUCACAAAUUCUUUUAGUCUAAUCAGGAUUGACGCCAAACUUCUUUGGCAUAAUUGAUACUUAAAAGUUACAAAAUUUAAACCUGUAGAAACCCUAAAGAAUCUUAUACACAAGAUUUGAUUAGAGAGAAAAUAUAUUUGAAAUUCGUAAAGAGUCAGAUCUUUUGAAACCAAUGAAAAGAUGAAAAGCAUCGGAAAGCUUUAAAAGAAAAAAAAAUAGGAUUUGGAUUAGAUAAAGAAUGUAGCGACUUGUUCGAGGCCAACAAUCAAGAUUAGAAAACUUGAUAGGCACGGAGAAUCGCUAUUUGUUGUUGCCAACCUUCAAGGCAACUUACGCCAUUUUUAUUUUGACGUCAUUGCUCUGCUAAUUGGCGUUCUUAAAAUUUAAUUGGAAACAACACUUACAUACACGAUUAAAUAAAAAAAAACACUACAAAGCCAUGGAAGACAAGAAAAGAAACUAGGACUUGGAAUCGAACUUGUAGAUGAUUGAUUGUUAAAAAUCCAAGCCUUUACUGAUUUAUAUAGAAGAAACAGAAGCGGCUGCGGAGGAAGAAGAAGAAACCCUAAUUUCAUUAUUUUUAUCAAUGGGCCACAAGGCCUACUAUUGAUUCAAAAUGGGCCCAGGUCCACGAAGCAUAUCAUUUGUCUAACAAUUAUGCGUGUAUGUGAAGAAAGCUAUAAUUGAGUCACAACUUGGCAAUAAUUUUCUUAGGCUCUAAGCAUAUAUAGAACUUUCCGGAAGUCAGCUUCUCCGGAGGAAUCAGAACCAACUUGGCUACAGUGGCAGCAGCCUCAUCCGCCGUGUGAGUCCCCUGACCACCGGUCAUAGACGUACGAGUGAAACCAGGGCAUAAACAAUUCACACUUAGUUUUUUGCCGUCGUAACGUCGAGCCAAAACCCUCGAGUACGCGUUUAAGGCCAUCUUUGAGAUGGCGUAGUCUGGCCAGUUCUCUGGCCAUCCUUGCUUCUCCCAAGUCCCGCUUUUCACGUCCUGCAGAAAUUGAGUCACCGUCGCAUCGAUUUGUUCAUUGGUAAGGUCUUCACUCUCUAGGAUUCGUCUUAUACUAGGGCUUCUCAGUUUCUUUAUGCCAAAAAACAAAUCCAAAUGAGUCAAUUAUAGAUACAUAUAUGUAAUUGUAUUGUUCCUUACUAACAUUUUAUAUAUUAAAAUGCUUAUACAACCUAUAUAGUAUAGGUGUUAAAUCAUUAUAUCUUUCUGAUAUUAUUCGCAAUAUUUGAAUAUGCAAAGAUAAUGUUUUUAAAUAGUGUAUGAGAAAUAAAUGUAUUUUCUUUUCUUUUGCCGACAGUAUAUAUGAGAAAGAGAUUACAGUACAUUUAAUGUGCCAAGCCUUGAACUCAUGUUAAGGAUGCGGCUAACGGAGACGGAACGCCGAAACAACGGCAAAAGCGCCUCGGUUAAAAGCUUGGGACCGUAGAAAUUGGUCUUGAUAAUUGUCUCUGGCUCAUUGAUUAAAUUCUCGCCUACCGCGUUAAAUGAAACGGCCGCAUUGUUCACCUGAGCAUGACGUACGACGCCGUAGUAAUUCCAUAAGAAAAAGUCCCGAACAAUAAAUAAAUAUUUGAAAAAAUAUUGUGUAGAAUAGAAAAUCAUGACUUUUUAUUUUGUCUAUCAAGUAUCCACUAAUUCUUUUCUCACAACAAUUAAAAAAGUAAUCAAAUUUCUACGAAUCCAUUGGAGUUCAGUCAUAUUUUAUUUAGUAGUUGUGGACUAAAUGUCUAGUUAAAUGUACAAUGUGUAUUCAUUGUAAAUAAUUUUUAAAAACAUUUAUAUCAGUUUAUGAUUACCAGAAUGUCGAGUACUCCGAAGUUGUGACGGAACCAGGAGGCGAAGGCCGCGAUGGAAGAAGGAUCGGAGAUGUCGAGGCAGCCAAAAUGAACGUUUCUAAAGCCAGUGAGGCGGAGGGAAUCGGCGGCUUGGAUUCCAUUUUCGGCGUUUCGGGCGGUUAAAACGACAGUUAGUCCAAGCUCUAAUAACCUCUUCACCACCGCAAAGCCUAUACCUUUGUUUGCUCCGGUCACCACCGCUGUUGUUUCUUCCGACCACCAUCUUCAAUAAUCACAACAGUAAUAGAAACCAAGUUGAUUUUUUAUUUUAUUUAUUUGAUUGAAACCAAGUUAAAAAAAAAUCACUAUUAUUUAAAUGAAACCAAGUUAAAUUAGUAACAAAGUUAUGUAGGAAGAGACUUUGCAGACAAAACCUAAAAAGGGUUUAUUAUUUACCUAUUUGUUGGAGAAAGAGGAGGGAUUAGAUGAUCCAUUUUUGUUAUUUUUGGAAAGCAACAAGGUGAUAUGAUAUUUAUAUUGAUGCUAACGAAUACUUGGUGAGGGGGAUUAUAUAUAUGCCUUUGUAAUUACAUGAUAGGGUUAUGUAAAUGGACCUGGAUCUGAACACAUGCAUCCUAUACUAUUAUUUGGGGAGUACAAUUUAUGGAUUACCCUUAAUUAACCUUCCCCUUUGUAAGAAUUUACUUAAGAAUGCCAUUAGAAAUAAAAUUUUAUAGAGUAAAUUAAUUCAACUCAUUAAGGAUAAACAAGUCAAAUACUAUUUUAUGCAAUUAAUUAAUUUAAUUUAAUUAUAAAAACGAAAAUCUAUUAUUAAUUUUUUAAAAAAGAAUGACCAAUCAAAAUGAACAUAUAAGAUUUGAUAUUUAACUUACCAUAUUAAUUUGUUAUUAAUCAUUAUACUUCACCUCUCAUCUUUAUAUGAUUCUAUUUCUAUAAAAAAAUAAAUCAUUAUAUCAUCUAUACAAUAAAAAAAAAGUAAAAAAUUUUCUGCAUAUACCAAGAUUUGAAUUUUUAAAAACGAAUAUAAAUUAUUCAAUGUAUGAAAGAACAAAUUUAACGGGUCAAAAAUUCAUAUUUGAGUAAUAUAUUCCUUAUGUUUAAAUAUCAUCAAUACUUAAUAGAGCAAAAAUUUAUGAAGUAUAAAUACUCUAAUUUGAUUUUUUGAAACAAAUAUUUAUAAUAGGCGGCGGGUUGAAUAUAAUAUAUUAUAUGAUGAAAUGAGUUAUGAUCCUUAUAACUAUUUGAAUAUUUAUAUUUAAUUUCAUAUCAUUUUUUUUAAAUUCAUAAUUUUACAUAAUACAAUAAAAGUUUUAAAGAUUUUAAUUUGGAACAUUUUAAAAUAGUUUAAUUUAAUAUAUUAAAGAAUAUCAUAAAUAUUUAAUAAAUUAAAAAAGAUAAAAUAAAUUAUAAAUACAUUAAUUUAAUUUUCUAAAAAGAUAUGUUUAAAUAUUUAUAGUAGGCGGCAGGUUAAAUGUAAUGUAUUAUAUGGUAGAAAGUUAUGAUCCUUAUAACAGACGGCAUUUUAAGAUUUUAUGAUGAGAUGAGUUAAAUAAGGUUUGACACUUCUAAAUAUUUGAAAAUUUGAUUCUGCAAGCAAUUUUGAAAAUAAUAAAUAAUAGAUUGUGCCGCAAUAUUUUCAUACGAAUUGUAAAAUAAAAAUAUAGACUCGACACACGGAUUGAAUUUGGUAUUAUUAUAUACCAAAUAUAUGUUCAUAACAUAUUUGAUUAUGUGAAUAAUUGGUAAAUUCCGUAAUUAGCUCAAACAAAUCUCUAUUUCAACAACCAAUGAAUCAGAAUUUGAAAAAAUAAUUUCCUAAAUUAAUUCAAAAUAAUAGCUAAUUUUCUUAAGUAAUUCAAAAUAAUCUACGUUUUAGAUGCGAUUCAUUUAUGAUAUUUUGAUUUUUGAUCUAACUAAAUUAUAUGCACUCUCAUUUUGUGGUUGUUAACAUAAAUUAACUCAUUGUUCAAACAAUAUUAAGUUUUUUAAAAAAUAAUCUUAUUUUCCGUUUUCAUAUCUUAAAAAAAAUAUCCAUAAUUGAAUACUAUAGAAAAAGGAAAAUAUAUUUAUUCUAAUAUUUUAUAUAGGGACUGACAAAAAAAUAUUAUUAUUUUUAUUUACUAUUAUAAUAUAUCACAACUUUAUUCUAAAACAUAAAAUUUAUAAAUUUUGUAAUAAAUGAAAUUCAACCCGUACUGUAGUACGGGUGAUGAUCUAGUAUUAAUUUAUAAAUACUUAACAUAUGGUUGUGUUCGUGUGUGACGGUGCCCGAAAACAAAAGAAUAAAAUAUCCAAGAACUCGUGAAUAAUGCCGUAAAUAAUGUAAGUUAUUAAAAUAUAUAUCGGUAAGUUGUUAACGUCCAUUGGUUCUUAUAAGUUUUGGAUAUUCGACUAUUAGUUUUCUUUCUCCACCUUUAAUGUUUUAGACGACAAACCUAAUCUUAUAGAUUUCUGAGAUUAUUGUUUUUUUUCGUGCUUGAUGAAAGAAGUUUUGGAUGAACAAAAGUGAAAUGUUUAUGUCUGCGUUUAUUGACCCCAAAUUUGAUAAUAUAAGCAAUUCAUUUGAUUGUAUCCAAUGUCAUUAAGGAAUCUUGAACUAAAAUUGUUUCCUUUUAUAUCGUAAAACUUUAUCCCCUCGCUCUUAUACAAAUACGUAUUAUUCAUUUUAGUAUAUUGUCGACAAUUUUAUUUUUAUUUUUAGAAUAUUGCCUUUAUGAACAACUUCGACCUAGCUAUAAGUAAAAGAUGUAUUUCAAACCUCUUUGAUGUUUGAUAUUUUUGGAUUCAAACAUGUCCCGUACGUACCUAGCUAUAUCAGGUUUUCAUAUAUGUGGAACAGAUCCGAACGAAAUAUUUAUUAGAAUAUGGGCUUCCAACUCAAAACCAAUUGGCAAUGAGUGGAGAGGCCCAUAUAUCUUAUAUACUAAUCAAGAUCUCUUGUCCUUUCCAAUGUGGGAUAAUAUUAUCCCUAAUACGCCCCCUCGAGAUGAUGGCUCUAGCCAUUGAUCUCGGUAUGCUCGGGCAUGGAUCGGCGGGCCAACUAUUGGGCCGGGCCGAUGGUGGAUUGGAUUUGGACAUGUACGGAUCGGGCUCUGAUACCAUAUUAAAAUAUGGGCUUCCAACUCAAAACCAAUUGGCAAUGAGUGGAGAGGCCCAUAUAUCUUAUAUACUAAUCAAGAUCUCUUGUCCUUUCCAAUGUGGGAUAAUAUUAUCCCUAAUAAUAUUUAGAGUAGUUGAGUUGAUAUGGUCAUGUAUAUUAUUGUAGUGGUCUAGAGGAAAAAAGGAGUAGAAUAUUGACUAAGAGCGUUUAAUUUAUUGUUUAAUGCUUUGCAUGCUUCAAUUAAGAAAACCCUUUUAAGUUAAGACAUAAAAUUAUUAGUUUUAAAAGUUCAAAGUUCUUGACUAAUGAACUAAGACAGAGAUGAGAGUUAGUGGGAUUUAGGCAUGUGCUUGCUUCAUCAUUGGGCUUAUUAAUAAAGUUUUAUUUCAUCAAGCAUAAUAUAAAACGUAUAGUCAGCUUUGCCGCCACUUCUGAUGGUUUAAGUAUUGGACCACUGUGUACGUGAUAUAGCAUUGUAGGUGUAGGUGUUGGAGAUGAUUUCUGGGUGUCUUUAUCAAUACGGAAUCUUACCAAGUCAUUUCUAAGUGUUGCAUCUAUAAACCAAUUAUUGGAGACUAAACAAAAAGUAAUAUACAUGGUUUGCACAUUGUGCUAUAUGUUUAUACUUUAAUUAGAUAUAUAACUCAAAAACACCUUUAUUGCCUAACAGUCUUUGGUCGGAGGGGUUUGGUGAGCAAGAUAUCAAUAUUAUUAUAAACAGGAAAAGGGAAUCUUUCUGGUUUAAACACAUACACUAAUCUCCAUGCACCAAAAAAAAAAAAAAAAAAAAAGAAGCUAACGAGUUAAGCUACUUUGAUAAUCUUGGCCUCUGAUUCUGUCCUAAGAGCAGACAAAUGAAUGCAAUCGUCUGGGGGUUUCUUGUGUCGGUUAUGCUCUUGUGGAAGGCCAAGAUGCAAUUUGUUUUUGUUAUGGAUCUACAAACUCGAACAACAAAACUUCGAAAGCAACAAAGAAAAAGCAUGUUAGAACCCAAAAGUAAAGCCCUUGAUAUUAAAGAAACAAGAACAUAAAAAUCUAAUUUGGAGAUAAAAUUAAAGAUUUACUGAUUUAUGUAGGAACCAAUAAGAAACCCUAAUUUGUAUUUGCACAAUAAAGAAAACCCUAAUUUCUUGAUUUAUCAAAUGGACGAAACAGAGCAAGCUAUUGAAUCUAUAGACUAAUGAAGAUACAUCAUACAUGUGCAUAAAAAACUAUGUUUUGUGUGUGUAAGAUUCUUCUUUCGGGUUUCAUCUCCCAUGGGAGAUGAAAGAAUUUGUAAACGUCAAUGUAGCAAUUGAAUUCACAUCAAAUAGUAUUUCCAUUGAUGUCUCAGGACGCCCUUUCAAUAUCUCAUCUCUUACUACAUCAAGAAGAUUAUCUGGAAGCUGCACAACACCAUUCAAGAUCCGCAUAACCCACACUCAUAUCCGGUCUUAUUGAUUCAGAUUGAUGCGCACACAACACCCCUAGCUUCAAAACCAGCUCAAUCUCUCCCCUGUUUUGUUCUUGACGUGUACUUUCCUCUGCCGCAUCGAAAAUGUUCCCAUGUUCCCAAAGCUCUAAGAUCCAAUCCACAAGUACUUCUUCAUUUUCCUCUGCACGUCGGUCUAUCAACCUUCUACCACAAACUAUUUCAAGCAUUACCAACCCAAAUGCGUAAACAUCAGUGCUUGUAGUCGCUCUUCCUGUUCUAAUAAACUCUGGUGCGAUAUACCCUAAUGUUCCCGCUACUCUCGAUGUCUGAGGAUCAAAUCCCUGAUCAUACAGCUUCGCCAGUCGGAAAUCCCCGAGCCUCGCAUUCAUAUCGUGGUCGAUGAGAACAUUAGCCGGUUUGAUAUCUCUAUGAAUGAUGACUUGUGCCCAUUCUUGAUGCAGGUGCAGUAGAGCAGAUGCAACGUCUUUGAUGAUCUUGAAACGUUGUUCCCAAGUCAGCCUUUCUUGAUUCUCAUUCCGGUUUAGAUACUUGUCAAGGCUUCCAUUAGGCAUAUAGUCAUACACUAAGUAGAGAUUCUCUUUCUGCUUACAAUAUCCCAAAAGCCUGACUAGAUUUGGAUGUCUGAGACGACCAAUGGUUGAAAUCUCGGCUAGAAACUCGCUCAUCCCGGAAGUGUUCCUUUAUAGACUUGACCAAAGCCUCCUCUUCCAAGAAGUUGUUUCUCCUUGAAACCCUUUGUGGCAUUGAAAAGCUCCUUAUAAGCAAACCUAUGAGGUCCAUAUUGAAUCUCCCAUUCUUCAAGAACCUCUUUAACCUUCUUGUGCCUCCAAUAAAAGACGAAACCGAUCUUGUCGAUGCUGUGUAGCCAUAAUACAUCUCCUCCAAAAAAUACGGGGAGAGAUCUCGAUUCAAAGACAGUUUGUGCUGAUCAAGGUUGACUAUAAAGUAUCGAAAGCCUCAUUACCUUUGUGCUGAUCAAGGAAAGUUUGUUAAAAUUUCCACCUUUAUCAUCAUAGUAACCAGCAGAAGCAGAGACAACAGAUGCCAAACCAUUAAUGUUAAUCCCAACAUGAUUAUCAUCAAUAUCUCCAAACUCUUCGUCUUUUUGUAUAUCUAACUCGAUAGCUAUCACGUGAUUUCAUGUUUUACCGUUGCUUGUUUCAUUGAAUAAUCCGAGGUACUGAUCUGAGGAAGCUCCUGAAAGGCCUACCGUAGGAGAGAUGCCGGAAGACAUGCCGGGUGAACCGGACUGUUUUUAUUGGGGAACAGGAGAUCGACCGAGAUCGACGACGGUCGAGAUAAGCCCAAGAAAAAGGAAAUCAUGAAGAUCAAGAAGGAACUAGAAGAUUAUCAUAUAUUAGUUUGGAAUAUUUACAUUUAUCUCUAAAAUAUAUUUUACAUUUAUCUUUAUCUUAAUUUAGGAAAUUAGGUUUAGUCUUUCUCUAUAUAUAUCGAUGUAUUUUAGAACAUGAAUCUUAUGAGAGUAUAAUUAUAAUUUAUCAUGGUAUCAGAGCUUUGAUCUUAUUCCUAUGGCUUAAGGUUUUGUUUGCUUCUGCUACUACUAAAACUAAAAAAAAAAAAAAAAAAAAAAAAAGAAGAGUUACGUACGUGAUCCUCUUAGUGAUUCGUGUUGUUGGUUUGGUCAAUUGUUUGGCCUCGUUUGAUUCAUAUUUGGCUAGCAAGUUUGCUAGUUCCGUUAAAAAAAAAAAAAAAAAAAAAGAAAGAAGAAAGAAGGCGAUGUUGGUUUGUUGAUGUCACCACCACUACAAAGAUGGCAUGAACAAACAAUAAAGUUUGGCAUGAAGAUUAUUCCGACGGAUACGAUGCUGAUCCGGAGGUAUUUGAAUCCGACACAAGUUUCUUCAUGAACAAGAAGUUCGAAGAGCGACCAAAACUUGUGAUCUAAAACCGAUGGAGAUACACAACUACGAAAGAUGUAUUUUCCACCGUUGAUGACCCUACGAUCGGGUAUAAACGUCGAUGACCUAACGGCUGGGUAUUGUAGCCGCAUUAAACCCUACGAUCGGGUAUAAACAUCGAUGACCUAACGGCUGGGUUUUGUAGCCGCUUUGACCCUACGACCGGGUAUAAACGUCGAUGAUGACCCGACGGCCGGGUAUAAAGCCGUUAUUCUGAUGAUUUGUCCAAUCUCACUCGUGUUACCACG